rnacentral:rRNA from 1 species
CAGUAGCCGCGGUAAUACGGAGGGGGCUAGCGUUGUUCGGAAUUACUGGGCGUAAAGCGUACGUAGGCGGCUUUGUAAGUUAGAGGUGAAAGCCUGGUGCUCAACACCAGAACUGCCUUUAAGACUGCAUCGCUUGAACGUCGGAGAGGUGAGUGGAAUUCCGAGUGUAGAGGUGAAAUUCGUAGAUAUUCGGAAGAACACCAGUGGCGAAGGCGGCUCACUGGCUCAUACUGGACGCUGAGGUGCGAAAGCGUGGGGAGCAAACAGGAUUAGAUACCCCGGUAGUCCCUGUCUCUUAUAC